rnacentral:misc_RNA from 1 species
UACAGAGACUGCGAGCGUUAUUCGGAUUCACUGGGCGUAAAGGGUGCGCAGGCGGUUUCGUGUGUCAGGUGUGAAAUCCCGGGGCUUAACCCCGGAACUGCGCCUGAAACUACGGGACUAGAGCAUUGGAGAGGGUAGCGGAAUUCACGGUGUAGCAGUGAAAUGCGUAGAUAUCGUGAGGAACACCAGAGGCGAAGGCGGCUACCUGGACAAUGGCUGACGCUCAGGCACGAAAGCGUGGGGAGCAAAAGGG